AGCAGGCUGUGCUUUGGUCCAUCCACCCUCUCCAGCUUCUCAAAGUGUUUCCUGGCGUUCCGGAUGUUGAUCAGCGUGGCCGCGGAAGCUGAGACGGAAAAGGGACAAGGGAGAUAAAAAGAAGUUAAAAAGGGUUUCUCUUGGCUCUGACUUACGUAUGGAGGGGUCUGACAUGACCACCAUCACGUAGGUGUUGGA